rnacentral:misc_RNA from 1 species
CGAAAUGCGAUAAGUAGUGUGAAUUGCAGAAUUCAGUGAAUCAUCGAAUCUUUGAACGCACAUUGCGCCCCCUGGUAUUCCAUGGGGCAUGCCUGUUCGAGCGUCAUUUGUACCCUCAAGCUCUGCUUGGUGUUGGGUGUUUGUCCCGUCUCCGCGCGUGGACUCGCCCCAAAGUGAUUGGCAGCCGGCGUACUGGUCCCGGAGCGCAGCACAUGUCGCGCAAACGAGUGCCUUGGUACGGCGGCGUCCAUAAGCCCCUCUCUCACGCUCUUGACCUCGGAUCAGGUAGGGAUACCCGCUGAACUUAAGC